GGGAGCUGACACAGAGGGCAGACAAUCCACAUAGGACACCUGAUCAGCUCAGGCUUUCCUGCGAUUUUCCUGAAGAGGUCAUGCCUUUCAUCUGUCCAGGACAAUGAUGAGAACAUACAACACACAUAACACAAGUACUCAAGCUUGAGAGAUGUGUAUUGCACUGGACCUAUGCCACUUAGCAACUCUGUGGUAAGUGUAAUAUGGUGAUUUGAAUAAGUUUGACCCCCAUAGGCUCAUAUAGUUGAAUACUUAGUCACCAGGGAGUCGAAUUCUUUGAAAGGAUUAGAAGGAUUAGGAUAUGUGGCCUUGCUGGAGCAAAUGUACCAUGGGGGAUGGGGUUUAAAGUUUCUAAAGCACAUACCAGACUCAGGCUCGCUCGCUCUCUCUCUCUCUCUCUCUCU
rnacentral:lncRNA from 1 species